GGACUGAAAGCUGCUGAAAUCAACCAAACUGUGAAGAAGAUGAGCAAGUGGUCAAAACGCAAGCAGUGUUCUGCAAUAAAUUGCAAAAAUUACCAGUCCACCAGAAGCGAUUUGGCAUUUCAUCGAUUUCCAAAGGAUGCACAAAGGUGUGCCAGGUGGGUCCAAAAUCUAAGGAAUGCAUCCCUUCAUGGCAUACCUUUGGAUCAGCUGCAUCGGACCUACAGGGUGUGCAGUGCCCAUUUCCACAGCAGCCAGUUCAAAAGACCAUCUGAUGUGUAUGUGUAAUAUAAAACUGUAAUAUUUUUUGAUGUUACUUUUUGAUGUUUAAAUAUGUAGCUCUUCUAUCUAUAAUAGCUAGCUCAUCUUAAAGUACCUUCUAACAUCUCAUCUCAUUCUAAAACUGCAAUUUACUUUACUUCCUUUUCUCUUUUUUCUAAACUCCUACUCCCAUCUACUACACUUGACAUACCUGUACAGCAUUUGGGAGUACAUUAUCCAAAAUGACUGAACCCUCAUCCUCUGACAGUGUCCUGAUGUAGUUAAAAAUAGUUUACUAGGUUGAGGAUUACAAAUCAUGUCAUUGUCUUACACCCAUGGUGGGCUGAAAUGGGAUGCUGUGCCCACAAAAAUAGAGGCCCCUAACCCACCUCCCCCACUAGAUGUCGAGAGGAAGCGUAAACCUCCGAAGACACGCCAGGAGUUGCCACGUAAAAAACGCAAGCAGAGUCAUGUUCCUCCUCCCUCCAAAGACCAGCACACCGGGGAAGCUGUAGUGGGGCCUUCAACAAUGGAAGAGGGAGACAAUGAGGAUGUGUCAGUAGCACCUUCAUCCAUACAACGGCAUGUUCGUACGGCUGCUGUGAGGGAGCAAUGAAGAUCAGGGAUCUGAAGAAUCAAGUGAGUAAGCUGCGAUCAAAAGUGAAACAGCUGCGACAAACAAAGGUCAGCAGGGCAGGUGAUAAGGAGCGGGUGAUGAAGGAACUGCAGCGUUUGCUUCCUGCUAAAGCUUUUGCUUUUGUGCGCACACAAUUACGCAUUUCUCACCGUAAGUGUCAAGAUUACAGGUGGACCACUCAGGAUAAAGCUUUCUUCCUGUCCCUGUGGCACGCAAGUCCAAAAUGUUAUCGGCUUCUCUGCAGAGUGUUUUCUAUGCCCUCUGUCCGCACUUUGCAAAAAAUCAUCCAGGCUGUUGACUUCAAAACUGGUUUCAAUAACACUGUUUUAGCCACCAUGAAGAAGGCCAUGGAGACCACCAAGCCCAUCGACAAGCUGUGUGCCAUCAUCACAGACGAGAUGUCAUUAAAAGAAGCAUUGCACUAUGACGAAGCUGCUGACAGGGUUGAGGGCUUGGAGGACUUCAGCAGAGGUCAGCGCACCCCUUAUGUGGCCAACUACGCCUCUGCUUUUAUGGUAAGAGGCCUGUU